UACGAAGGGGGCUAGCGUUGCUCGGAAUUACUGGGCGUAAAGGGCGCGUAGGCGGACAGUUUGGUCAGAGGUUAAAGCCCAGGGCUCAACCUUGGAAUCGCCUUUGAUACUGGCUGUCUUGAGUACGGGAGAGGUGUGUGGAACUCCGAGUGUAGAGGUGAAAUUCGUAGAUAUUCGGAAGAACACCAGUGGCGAAGGCGACACACUGGCCCGUUACUGACGCUGAGGCGCGAAAGCGUGGGGAGCAAACAGG
rnacentral:rRNA from 1 species